CCUACGGGAGGCAGCAGUGGGGAAUAUUGCACAAUGGGCGAAAGCCUGAUGCAGCCAUGCCGCGUGUAUGAAGAAGGCCUUCGGGUUGUAAAGUACUUUCAGUUGUGAGGCGUUAGCAACAGAAGAAGCACCGGCUAACUCCGUGCCAGCAGCCGCGGUAAUACGGAGGGUGCGAGCGUUAAUCGGAAUUACUGGGCGUAAAGCGCAUGCAGGUGGUUUGUUAAGUCAGAUGUGAAAGCCCGGGGCUCAACCUCGGAAGGUCAUUUGAAACUGGCAAACUAGAGUACUGUAGAGGGGGGUAGAAUUUCGGUGUAGCGGUGAAAUGCGUAGAGAUCGAAGGAAUACCAGUGGCGAAGGCGGCCCCCUGGACAGAACUGACACUCAGAUGCGAAAGCGUGGGGAGCAAACAGGAUUAGAUACCCUUGUAGUC
rnacentral:rRNA from 1 species